rnacentral:rRNA from 1 species
UACGUAGGGGGCAAGCGUUGUCCGGAAUCAUUGGGCGUAAAGAGCGUGUAGGCGGCCCGGUAAGUCCGCUGUGAAAGUCCAGGGCUCAACCCUGGGAUGCCGGUGGAUACUGUCGGGCUCGAGUCCGGAAGAGGAGUGUGGAAUUCCUGGUGUAGCGGUGAAAUGCGCAGAUAUCAGGAGGAACACCAAUGGCGAAGGCAGCACUCUGGGACGUGACUGACGCUGAGACGCGAAGGCGUGGGGAGCGAACGGG